rnacentral:rRNA from 1 species
AUUGAACGCUGGCGGCAGGCUUAACGCAUGCAAGUCGAGCGGGGUGAUGGUGCUUGCACUAUCACUUAGCGGCGGACGGGUGAGUAAUGCUUAGGAAUCUGCCUAUUAGUGGGGGACAACAUCUCGAAAGGGAUGCUAAUACCGCAUACGUCCUACGGGAGAAAGCAGGGGAUCACUUGUGACCUUGCGCUAAUAGAUGAGCCUAAGUCGGAUUAGCUAGUCGGUGGGGUAAAGGCCUACCAAGGCGACGAUCUGUAGCGGGCCUGAGAGGAUGAUCCGCCACACUGGGACUGAGGCACGGCCCAGACUCCUGCGGGAGGCAGCAGUGGGGAAUAUUGGACAAUGGGGGGAACCCUGAUCCAGCCAUGCCGCGUGUGUGAAGAAGGCCUUAUGGUUGUAAAGCACUUUAAGCGAGGAGGAGGCUCUUUUGGUUAAUACCCAAGAUGAGUGGACGUUACUCGCAGAAUAAGCACCGGCUAACUCUGUGCCAGCCGCCGCGGUAG